GCAGAGUAGGUCUGUGUGCGUUAAGUGCCAGCCGGACAGGGAGUUGCCGGCGGGACGAAGGAAAACGUUUCGGUGACCGGUUGCCGUAAAAACUGCAAAAAGCAGUUUGGGGUGAUCUGGAAGCUGAGCAGCGGUUUUUUCGCGGUACACAGGCCGCAUCCCGCUGC
rnacentral:ncRNA from 1 species